AUUGAACGCUGGCGGCAGGCCUAACACAUGCAAGUCGAGCGAGCGGCGGACGGGUGAGUAAUGUCUGGGAAACCGCCUGAUGGAGGGGGAUAACUACUGGAAACGGUAGCUAAUACCGCAUACCAUCAGAUGUGCCCAGAUGGGUUGAGCUAGUAGGUGGGGUAACGGCUCACCUAGGCGACGAUCCCUAGCUGGUCUGAGAGGAUGACCAGCAACACGGGAGGUGGGCCACGGUCCAGGCUCCUACGGGAGGCAGCAGUGGGGAAUAUUGCACAGUUGGCGCGAGCCUGAUGCAGCCAUGCCGCGUGUGUGAAGAAGGCCUUCGGGUUGUGAAGCACUUUCAGCGGGGAGGCGUUACCCGCAGAAGAAGCACCGGCUAACGCCGUGCCAGCAGCCGCGGUAAUAC
rnacentral:rRNA from 1 species